rnacentral:rRNA from 1 species
GACGAACGCUGGCGGCGUGCUUAACACAUGCAAGUCGAACGGAGUGGCGAACGGGUGAGUAACACGUGGGUGACCUGCCCUGCACUUCAGGAUAAGCCUGGGUAACUGGGUCAACUAACGGCUAGGGUGGGAUGGGCCCGGGGCCUAUCAGCUUGUUGGUGGGGUAAUGGCCUACCAGGGCGGCGACGGGUAGCCGGCCUGAGAGGGUGGACGGCCAAAUGGGGACUGAGACACGGCCCAGAGUCCUACGGGAGGAAGCAGUGGGGAAUAUGGCACAAUGGGCGGAAGCCUUAUGCAGCGACGCCGCGUGGGGGAUGACGGCCUUCGGGUUGUAAACUCCUUUCACCAUCGACGCGGUAGAUGGAGAAGAAGCACCGGCUAACUACGUGCCAGCCGCCGCGGUAAUUC